UUUAUGUGUACCCUCUUCUUAUAUUUUAUAGAAAAUUGUACGUUAGGUAUUAUAAUUAUUGCGUACGUAUGCGAGUGCAUGUCCAAAUUAUAACCGUGUUUCCUACGCGAGCGCCACCACUUAAAUAGCUUAACCCUAUUUACUGUUUUCCUACUUUCAUUUGGAAUUUAGUGACCGGAAUUUUUAUUAUCUUUUUCUUUGGUUAUUUAUACAUCAUUGUGAAAAUACCAAAAACGAUGGCGUUAAAAUUCAUGAGCAAAUAAAACACCGUUAAUUUCACACGAUGUAUAUGAUACCAAACAUAUUUUUGAGAAAAAAAGUUGUUCAUAGUGAUGACUUUAACAUUUACAACAACACAUUCCAAAAACAUUGAGAUCGAUCGUUUAUCGUAGGCAAUUUUGGAUUUCCAUCGAAAAUUCGGUCGAGUUCUUCAAUGCAUUUUUCCUGCCAUUCAGGAUUGUUGGCUAAAAGGAAGAGCGUCAUCGCAGUCGCGGUGCCAACCGAAUCCUGCCCAGCUAACAUAAACGUGCAACAUUCUUCGACGAUGUCUUUAUCGGAGAAGCAAGGAUUUUUUUCGUUUAUUUCCACCAUGUAUUCCAGCAACGAUAUUUUUCCUGUCUCUUCUGUCUGAUCAUCAGGGUCAUUCCGAGAAAUAAAACGCAACGUUCAAAAUACGUAUACGCUCAAAAAUAUUUGUACAGCAGUAAGAAGCUUUUCAAUGAGAACUUAUGACUUGUUCGCUAACUUUGGAUACUGGAUUAACUUAACAUUUAUUUCAUAUGUUAAUUGAUAUUGAGAACUUCACCGGACAUCAGCUUUUCAGGUAAAGGAAUUUGCAUUUUGUUUGCACAUUGAAUGAAAAGUUUGUCAACGCUAUUAACAAUAAAAAUCUAUUAACAAGUAUACCAGGACGGAUAAUAUUAAUAUAUAUGACAAUGUUUUAGUACAUUACAUGUUGUGCAAUAUUUUAAGAAGAUGUCAGUCUAGUAGAAUUUUAAUAUUUGAUAUAUCGUCAUAAAUAAACGUUUUGCAAAUUAUUCGCAAUAUUUUACAAAAGAAUACGAAUGCUUCCAUUGAGAAAUUAUUGACUCUGCAACUUACAUGCAAAAUGCAUUUGUAUGGAAUUAUGCAAAUUGAAUAAGACAUAAUUUAUAGACGAACUUACAAAGUAUCACUUUUUCCAAAUACAAGUUUUGUGUGUAAUUACUUGCAAAUAACAAAGUAUAUGACAAAAGAUUAACGAUCGUGAAUAAUGUAGAAUAUGUACGUUUCAUUUGAAUACGAAAUAAUACGGUAGCCCUUGUAAUUAAUAUUUAUUAGUAAACCUUAUCAGGAACAUAAUUAUGGCAUACGAAAUGGAAGAGAAGAUAUCGUUUGUAAUAGUAUGUUUGUUAAAAGAACAGAAUAUUUAUAAUUACAAAUUUUAUAUAUUUGUAUUAUAUAUUUUUAUAUAUUAAUUGUAACUAUAAAAAAUAUCUACAAUUUACAAAAGACGUCGAAAGGAAGAGAUAAGUAAACAGCUAUUUACGAAAUUUGUAGAGAAAGAAUUAAUUUAUAUCUUCGCAUCACUUAACGUCUUUAUUUAUAAUUUAACAUUAAACACGU
rnacentral:lncRNA from 1 species